rnacentral:lncRNA from 1 species
GAGUUCCAACGGCCCCAAGACGCGCCCCGAGGCAGACGGCCUCCGCCCCUCUCCCGCCUCAAGUGGACAAAUCCGCUCCACAGCGAACCACGGACUCGGGGCACGCCGACGCCCACACUCACCUGGUGCGCGAAGCCCCGGAGGCCUCCUCUCAUUUUCCCAGUUCUGUUUGCCAAGCUUCUGAGACCCAUACUGUGUGCCUGGAGUGCGAACCCACAUUACCCUCAUAUCCUGGUGCUCCAGCUUUAACCGCAGUGUGACCUUCUUGUCUGCGCUUAGCAACACACACACACAAGGAGUACGCCCACGCGCGCCCUUAGAAAAGUCGCCCAUUGUUGGACAAGUGCUUCUCUCCUGCCUCAGUUUCCCUAUCUGAAAAGGUUUAAUCGUAGGUCCCCAGGACAUGACCUGGCGCUGGGAAGAGUUGUGUGGUCCAGCGGGGAUUUCCAAAGGUUGGAAGAUGCCUUUCAUCCUGUGAAUUCAGUAUGAGUGACUAGUCAGCAAUGUCCACUUCUAUGCAGUCUCCUAGUGUUCCACGGGAGGGAGAUUUGGCUCCAUACUGUGUCCAUUCCUAUGACGGCUCAGUGCAAACCACCAUAAUGUCCCUACUCCCCAACUCAUAAAGGCUUGUUGUUUCUGUUCUCUGGUGGAUUUUCUUCCUGGGCACCAUCCUGGAACCUUAAACCUUGCAUGCAAGACCUUGCAUCAGAUUCUUUAACCGCCAAAUUUUACUACAUGUUGAUUAGGUUUUCUUUGCUGUGUUUUUCCCCAGAAGAAAAUAGACUUCCAGCAAACAGCCCUGCCCUGGAUCCUGAAGCACCUUGGUUUCCUCCCCUCCCCCGCCCCAAGGCAUCAACAAUAGGGGCAAAUAUUUUUAUUGCCCCUGAAAAAGAUCAUCUGUAGGAUGGCCUUCAGCCUACCUAUCCCUCCUAUAGAAAAGUCUGAAAUUAGGCAAGGCCAACUCUAUUAAGACUUAUUUAUGUACAUAUAUGUGUAUGUUAAAUGUGAACAGGAACCUACUGAGAUCUGAAAAGGCCUGGAUCUGGAGUUGCAGAGGGUCAUAUGCUGAAUGGCAUGGGUGCUAGAACUAAAUUCUGGUCCUCUGGAAGAGCAACAAGAAUUCUUAAUGAUUGAGGAAUCUCUGUAGGCCUUUAUUUUUGAUUUUUAAGACAGGACCUCAUUCUGUAGCCUAGGCUGGCUUAAAACUCUCUAUGUGGCCCUUUUUGGCCUCAAAUUCACAGCAGUUCUGCCUCUGCC